rnacentral:rRNA from 1 species
ACUGGGAUUAGAUACCCCACUAUGCUUAGCCCUAAACACAAAUAAUUAUAUCAACAAAAUUAUUCGCCAGAGUACUACCGGCAAUAGCCUAAAACUCAAAGGACUUGGCGGUGCUUUAUACCCUUCUAGAGGAGCCUGUUCUAUAAUCGAUAAACCCCGAUAAACCUUACCACCCCUUGCUAAUUCAGUCUAUAUACCGCCAUCUUCAGCAAACCCUAAAAAGGAAUAAAAGUAAGCUUAAUCAUUUUACAUAAAAACGUUAGGUCAAGGUGUAACCUAUGGGGUGGAAAGAAAUGGGCUACAUUUUCUAACUUAAGAAAAUCUAUCACGAAAAUUAUUAUGAAAAUUAAUAAUUAAAGGAGGAUUUAGCAGUAAACUAAGAAUAGAGUGCUUAGUUGAAUUAGGCCAUGAAGCACGCACACACCGCCCGUCACCCUCCUCAAAUAAACACAAUAUUCCUAAACUUAUUAAUACAUAUAAUUCCUAUGAGAGGAGACAAGUCGUAACAAGGUAAGCAUACUGGAAAGUGUGCUUGGAUAAA